AAUUAAAUUAUGCAAUAGCAAAUCAGUUGAGUGAGUAAAUUAAAAAAUUUUAAAGUUCCCAAAUUUUGAAGAUUAAUUGCUAGACUUAAGGAUUCGCUCAGAGUUGAUUUUUAAGGAGAGAAAUCUGUGUGCCAGCACUAGCGGUAAAACAUAGCCCCAUUUUAUUCUUUCUUAGAUUUUGUUUAUAGGAUGGUUAACUUAGGGUUUAUUAAGUCUAAUUUUAAAUUCUUCAACUUUUUGACAUAGGAAGUAGGUGAACAGACUAGGAUUAGAUACCCUAUUAUUCCUAUUACUCAUAUUCUAAAGACUAACAAUGAUCUGUGGCGGCUAUCUUUCAAAUUAGAGAUCCAUGGACCUAAUGGACAGCCCACCCAAAUCUUCCUAUGUUUAGCUCUGCAUCUUUUAUAUCGCCGACUGAAAAAAAAAUCAUAAAUUUUUAUUUUGUCAGUUUCAUACUGAUAAGUCAGGUAAAGAUGAAGAUUAUAGCAUUGAAAGUUUGUGGAUCAAGAAUUUUCAGGAAUUAGAUAGUUGAGACGCUAUAAAAAUGAAUUUAAAAGUAAAGCUACUUAAUUAAAGUGACUUGAAAAUUGUUAAAGAGAGUGUACAUACCGCCCGUCACUUCCCCAUAGGAAUAAGUCGUAACAUGGUUAAUCUACUGGAAGGUGGAAUAUA
rnacentral:ncRNA from 1 species